rnacentral:lncRNA from 1 species
UGUCGCGCCGCAGCUGGAAAAACAUUCCCGGCGCUGGGAAUUGCUGGUUCCCCAAACCCAGCCCGUCCCACAGACCCGGCCCGUCCCACGGACCCGGCUCGGGGCCAUUGUGUGCUGCAGCCUCAGGGCUGAAAGCAGGGCAGGAGCUGGGCCUUGGCACGGUGCUGUGGCACUGCUGUCCCUGUGCCGUGGCACUGCUGUCCCUGUGCCGUGGCACUGCUGUCCCUAUGCUGGGGCACUGCUGUCCCUGUGCCAGGGCACUGCUGUCCCUUUGCUGUGGCACUGCUGUCCCUGUGCUGUGGCACUGCUGUGUGUCCCUGUGCUGGGGCACUGCUGUCCCUAUGCUGUGGCACUGGUGUCCCUGUGCUGUGGCACAGCAGCAGCAUCAGGCCCCGAGCACUCCCAGCUGCCACUGGAUGUGAUGUGUGCUGCAGCUGGGUUCACAUGUGGCAGCAGAUGAGAUUUAUGCAUUUGGUGAGUCAGACCAAGCUGCUUGUAGAUGUAGCUCUGUUUAAUGUGAAAAAAAUGAACUUGUUUGACUGACAACACGUUCUUUGGGCUUGUUCCAGCAAAGUAGAGGUGUGUCAAUACUCUCUGGCUUUUGUGGUUUGAUCGGCAUGCAGUGCUAACUUGCUGGAGAUACAUCUGUCAGCUUCAGAGCAGAAUUUAUUGUGUGAAAAUGGCUCUGCACAGAAGGCACCGCCCACUUCCAGCUCUUAUGAAAGAUGUGUUGGCUGUAACAUUUUCUGAGAGAUUUCAGCAGGAAAAGAAGUUACAUCUAAAAUAGAAAGCAGGGAGGGAAACUGGAUAUUAUACAGUCAUUUUCAUAACUGGAUAUUUUAACUGCAAGACUUCAGUGCUACAGGAUCCCUUGUGACCUAGAAUAACAUUACAUCCCUUUUACAAAGAACAUAAUGAUAUUUGUAACUAGUCUAUAGUUUCCAGCUCUGACAGAGAUCAGAAACCAGGUCUGACAAACAUCAGGCUGAUACCUGUUCACUGUGUUGACCUGAAACAAAGCUCUCUGGGGAAUGAUCUCUCUCCAGUUUGAGGUUGUGUGUUUGCUUUGUGCUUUUAGAGCUAGGAUUUGAAGCAGCAACUGCUGCUGUAGGAAUUAAAAGGGAGAAAAUGAAGGGAUACACACACAGCGCCAGUUCUGCAAGUGACAAAAUCGCAGCCCUGUGGUUGCAGAACCAGUUCUGACCUACUCCCCAGCCACAUCCUACAAACCAGCUCUACCUGUGCAAUGACAAGGCUUCAGCUCACCUCUGCAGAGGCUGUUUGGUAAUUUUUGUUCCUAUCUCAUGCUUGAGAGCUGCACCUUCUCCCCAGCAUGCACGUGGCAGAAUUGGCCUGUGUAGUGUCCUGCCCAGCCUUCACUGAAAAUUAAUUAAUGACAGAGUGCUUUGCCUUGAGCCUGAAACUAGCACCAGCUGAAGGACUUUGUGGAUGUAAUUAAGGGCCUGCUUUUGAGAAAGGUAUCUGGUUUGGGCCAUGAUAAUUAAUUUUUUUCAGCUAUACAUCAAGCUUCAGAGACUACACAAGGGUAAAACAGAACAGGCACUGUGAUAAUUUCCUUGGAAGUUCAGUCCAGAAGGGGAAAAUAAAGUUAUAUAUUAAGUGAACAUGUUGCUAAUAAUCUAGCACUCAUUUCACAAUGAAUGAAAACUACUACUGCUCCAAGUAGCAACAAGCAAUCUAUUCCUUAUCAUUCCAGAUGCAAUUUACUUGCAUGCUAGCCCCUUUCUGCAAAGUCAUGGUGACUAAGCUUUGCAAAGAAGCAUAGGAGCCCUUGAGCCCUGCAAAGGCCUGGGCAGUGACCCUCUACACUCCUUAAUUGCAUAACACAUCUAAAUGUUGGAUCUACUGAAAGCAGUUACUGCAACUUCCGUGUUACUGCAAAUAUCAUUAGAUGGAACAGAAUCUGUAGACUUACUUUUUUGAAAAGACAAAAUUUCAUAGCAAGUUAUGAUUAUUCAGGCAUUUUAACACAGAAGUACUGAGUGACAUCCCUGUUUUCCUCCAGCUCUAAAAUACAGGUGUUGCAAGCAGACAAACAACUGAUUGUUUUAAGGAGUGAGAUAAAGAACUAUCAACAGUUGUAGAGAAAAUUAGGUUACUUGUAAUCUCCUGUCUGAAUAGUCUCCUUAGGUGCAAGAACUGACCAAACUUUUGAUCUAACAAAUAUAACAAUGCUGGUAGCAAAAGAACUCGUGGAAUUCAGCAGAUACAAGCAGAAGGGACAUGAUAAGGAGACAAUUCCAAGAGAAAAAGCUACAUGAGAAGGUGCCCAGCCCAGCAACAAUGGAACCCAGCAGGAAAUCAAGAGUCCACCAACCAGAAUUUUAUGUUUGACUUGGCAUGGGUGAUGAGUGUCAGGGGUAUAAGUGAGAGGUGUGAGUUGGGGUAGGGGUCCCUCUCCAGAGGCACCAGUUCAAGCUGCAGCCAAAGAACUAACAGGAGACUAAUUGGAAACAUUCACUUGGACUUGGCAUUCUUAGUGGGGUCCUAGGGCCAGACACAGGCUGUGGCUGGUCUGUGUAAAUCUCUAGCAAUUGAUAACUCAUUCUAGAAAAUUCACUUUCAAAGUUACUUUUUUGUUUAUGCCCCAAUGCUAAUUUUCUAUAAGCAGCAGCAAGAGAAGCUGUGAGUCAUUUGAAAGGUGACCCUGUACCAGGAAAAAAUUACUUAACCAGGAGAAAAACCUGCUUCUUUGUAGAUUAACCAACAUCCAUUGCUUCUCUUCCCAGUUAACUCCAUGUGUUACAAGAUACACUUUGCACAAAGCUCAGUGCCUCUCAACCACUCCAGUGAGUUUUGAAGUGUUCAUUGUUUAAAUACCACAGUAUGUCCACAGAUCCUGGCCUCUUUAAGGGGGAACAAAAAAGGCAAAUCCAAAGCUACCAUCUUAAAUUUGAUUUGUCAUCAGUUUUUCUCAAUCAGGAUAAAGUACAGUGGCAUAUAUUGUACUUCACAUAGGAAAAGGAAUGAAAGAAUUUACUGCUCUGUUUUUUUUUCUUUUUCUCAGAGUAGACAGAUAAUCUAUCAGUCUCCAAACACUCAUCUGUUCCUGUGGGACUUUUUUUUUUCUUUUUUGUGAAGAAUGUAGGCAAUAUUCUCUGUAAGGAGAAAGUGGAAAAACCAUCCCAUGCAUUUAGAUGCCUCCAAGCUGUAAGACUGGAAGGAAGCAGCUGAGCAGGAUUGGUGGCAGAUGCUUCCCAGACCUGCCAAAGCCCACCUGCCCCAGGACUGUUGUGUGGUACCAGCCCCCCUGCAGCCCAUGCCAGCCUUCCCAGAACAGCUCACAGGAUCAGCACCUGCUCUGCCACAGCUCUCCCAUCUUCCGGAAUUCAAAAAGGAAAUCCAAAACACUCCAUUCUCCCCCCUCCACCAAGUCCUCAGUGCUCCUGAGCUGGGAAGGGCCAGGCUGGACACAGUCCUUCUGCUCAGAUUUAACCCAGCUGUUCAGGGUGAAGAAGAAAAAUCAAGAAAUGGCCAACUGGCCAUUCUUAAUAAGAGAAGCAAAUUCCCUCUACAGCUUUGUCCUUCAUACUUCAUUCCAGAGUCAUUAAAACAAUGAUAAAGUGGGAGACAAGGAAUAUUCACACAGCAGGAGAGGUGCCUCCCUCAGGAGCAGCAAGGCACCACCGCUGGUGUUUUUGUGUAUUCCUGCCACUUGUACACAUUGUAAUCCCAGUUCAGGGUCUAUGAGAAUGCUUAUUUCCUUCCCCUCCAAGAACCAUAGAAGACUUAGCAAAACAUCCAAAAUAAUAACAAUUCAGGAAUGGAAGCCACUUAGAAAACUCAAGGGAUUUUAAUGACUGAAUGAAUAAGGAACUACUUAUUAUAUUUAAGUAGCAAACAAGUAUUUUGCUAUCAAAGCACAAGCUGAAGAAUUUAGAGAAGCCAUAAACAUUAGUAAGCCCAACAUACAGAACUUGGAGUAAGAAGGCAUUUUACACACAAGAGUUUAUCAACACAAAACUGUUUAAUAUUUAUUAAAUGACACAAAAUACCUAGAUAACAGACUCACUCUCUGAAAGGACAUGUAUUUACAUUAUUUACCAACUUAAGAAAGACUCUCUGUACCCAUAUCAGACUUAUGAAACAUAAAAAAGGUUUUGCUGCUUUUUGCAUCGAAGGAUGCAAUGGUGAUACAUGCCCUGUUUGCAAGUCUGCAUAAACUAUAAGUUUUUGAUGCUGUGAAAAAGCACAUUUUCAUAUUCUGGUAGCUGAGGGAAGAGGCUUCUGAAAAGUAACAGGGUUAGUUUUUCCCCCCCACUCCAGACACACUCUCAAGACUGUUAUACAAAAAGUAUAUUACAUUUUUGAAUGCUGCUGUACUCUUACAAUUUUAGUGUAACGUUUCAAAGAAAAUGUUCUUCCUACUAUAUGAGAGCACUAAAAAAAGAGUGGCAUUUGAACAUUUUUUUAGAUGCUUUUUUUUUGUUUUAAAA